ensembl:miRNA
UUAGGUUGGUGCAAAAGUAAUUGCGGUUUGGGCCUUUAUUUUCAGUGGCAAAAACCUCAAUUGCUUUUGUGCCAACCUAAUACUU